rnacentral:lncRNA from 1 species
AGCAUCUGCAGCCCAGAAGAAUGGGGCCACUUGAACCAGGAAGCACAGCCCUCUGUGGGCAAAGCCAGGCUUCAAACCCAGGCCUCAACGGUCCCUCCCCCUCUGCUGGCAGCUGCUCUGGUUUCUCUCUUGAAAGAAGAGACAGUUGACCGAAGGUUGGCCUCUGAAAUGCAGGGAGGACUGGAGGCAGUGGUGGGGUGACGACUUCUGGGCUUGUCAUGUUACACCGUCAUCGUCUGGAAGAGUAACUCCGAGGUCAGGAAGUUCCAAGGAGUAAUGCUUUGUCACGGACUCAUGGAGACAAUUCAUCUUCAGAAGUUCAAGGGAGGGUAAGGCAAUGGACUUGACUGAGUCCAGAAGAACAGAUUCAGCAGUCAAUGAGGUGUUCCCCACGGCAGAGCAAAAUUGAAAAGUUUUCAUAUGAGUUAAAGUCCUUUUCCUUAAGGGGUUCUUUCUCGUGAGAAUCUCAUCAAAUCCUCCAUUUCCCCAUGGACCAGAAGAACCCAGCAUGAUAUCUGUGUGUCGAAAGAACACAACUGUCUUGGAGUCUGUUCUUCACUAGCCCAAGAGCUUAUCCGAAGUGCCUCAAAAGCAUUCCCAGGCAGCCUCCAAGGCCUGGGGCAUCUCCUGCCAGCUCGGCUUCCUGCAAACAUGCGUGGAUUGGAAACGGACAGAUAGAGGCUCUGCAUCUAGUGUGUGAAGAGCUGGACAGUAGCCAUUUAGGCUUUGGAAGCCGUACGAAUCUAUAUUGCAUAUUCUUCUCUGGUGGAAACAACACAAAUAUCUAUCAACUGAUGCUGCUGCUGCUGCUAAGUCGCUUCAGUUGUGUCCGACUCUGUGCGACCCCAUGGACUGUAGCCCACCAGCCUCCUCCAUCCAUGGGAUUUUCCAGGCAAGAGUACUGGAGUGGGGUGCCAUUGCCUUCUCCAAUCAACUGAUGAGUGGAUCAACAAAAUAUGGUAUAUCCAUUCAAUAGAAUAUUAUUUAGCCACAAAAAGCAAUGAGAUCCUGAUUCAUGCUGUGACAUGGUAGAACCUUGAAAACAUUGUGGUUAGUGAAAGAAGCCAGACAUAAAAGGCCAGAUAUUAUAGAUUCCAUUUACAUGAAAUCCCCAGAGCAGGCAAAGCCAUAGAGACAGAAAGUAGGGCUGGAGGUGAGUGGGGGAAUGAGGUGUGUUAGCUUAUUCAAAAGGAAGAGGAUUUCUUUUUGAAGAGAUGAAAAUGUUCUAAAAUUUAUAGCGGUCAUGGUUGGACAACUCUGUGAGUAUGCUAAAAGACAUCGAAUUGCAUACUUGAAAUGAGUGAAUUAUACAUCAAGUAUGUGAAUUAUAUCUCAAUCAAGUUGUAGUAAAAAACUAUCAUAAAGAAAAAAAAGUUUACAGGCCAUUAAAAAAAAAAAAAAG